UGGAGGAGCCUUCGUCCGAUUAGCUAGUUGGUGGGGUAAAGGCCUACCAAGGCGACGAUCGGUAGCUGGUCUGAGAGGAUGAUCAGCCACACUGGGACUGAGACACGGCCCAGACUCCUACGGGAGGCAGCAGUGGGGAAUAUUGGACAAUGGGCGCAAGCCUGAUCCAGCAAUGCCGCGUGGAUGAUGAAGGUCUUCGGAUUGUAAAGUCCUUUCGACGGGGACGAUGAUGACGGUACCCGUAGAAGAAGCCCCGGCUAACUUCGUGCCAGCCGCCGCGGUAAUU
rnacentral:rRNA from 1 species